CUGAGACUGUGAGGACUGGAAGCAGACCCAGCAGUACAUCACAAUCUGCAGAGCUGUGUGUCUGUGCCUGCACCGUGCCAUCCACCUGCAACAGCAAUGGGAGGCACAGGACAGGAUAAUCUGUUUGAUUCGAAAGCGUUAGAACUCACUUCCUAAGGAGCUCCCGGUGGCAAUCAGUACAAAAGUAAAAACCACCCAAAUUGUCUCUCUUGAGAGCCUGACAUGAGUGAGAAACAUGCCCUGAAGUUUGCAUGUGUGAGACCACAGCAAGAAAGACUGAACAAGGGAAGUUAAUAAAUUUACAUUUUCCUGGAUGGACAGAGAUGGAAGCUGGCUCUCUAUGAGAAAGACUGAGAAUCUGUGAUUUGAUUAGCUGUGAACAGAAGCUAGAAGAGGUGAGAAAGGAGGAAAUGAAUGUUGCAGAAUCUGAGAGAAAAAGAUGUGAAAGAUAUGAAGAGAAGAGGAUUCAGGGAAGAGAAUGGUAUCCUUCAUCACCAUGAUUCAGAAGACACCUAAG